rnacentral:rRNA from 1 species
UACGUAGGUGGCAAGCGUUGUCCGGAUUUACUGGGCGUAAAGAGCGCGCAGGCGGUCGUUCAAGUCGCGUGUGAAAGCCCCCGGCUCAACUGGGGAGGGUCACGCGAUACUGAUCGACUCGAAGGCAGGAGAGGGAAGUGGAAUUCCCGGUGUAGUGGUGAAAUGCGUAGAUAUCAGGAGGAACAUCGAUGGCGAAGGCAGCCCCUUGGACCUGUACUGACGCUCAUGCACGAAAGCGUGGGGAGCAAACAGG